rnacentral:rRNA from 1 species
GAGGGAAUAUUGGUUAAUGUGCGAAAGCGCGAACCAGCAACGCCGCGUGUGCGAUGAAGGCCUUCGGGUUGUAAAGCACUUUUAGAGGGAAUGAGGAAGGACAGUACCCUCAGAAUAAGCCUCGGCUAACUACGUGCCAGCAGCCGCGGUAAUACGUAGGAGGCGAGCGUUAUCCGGAUUUACUGGGCGUAAAGCGCGUGCAGGCGGUUCAAUAAGUUGGAUGUGAAAGCUCCCGGCUAAACUGUGGGAGGACGUUCAAGACUGUUAGGCUAGAGUAU